AAUAAUUUGCGCCGAAGAACCGUUCAUGGUAGCUGAUUUUGGCUGUGCGUGAAUCGGUGACAGACGUUACACCUACCUACUUAAUGAGUAACAUUUUGGUGACUUUGAGGGAAGCGGAUUAUUUGGCAAAUAAAAUAUUACGGGAUUUGGAAUAAGAAGACAGAAAAAGAAGCUUGGAAGAAGAUGCCAAUCGUCUUGAUCGCGGUUCGAGUCAACGCAUUCCAUCAUACCAGCGAUCAGUCAUUUUUCGACCAUUCCAUUCACAGGAUUUUAUAAUUGGACUUCCUGCAAUUCCUGAUACUUUUCUGCCCCAAGAGACAAGAUGGUUGAAGCCAUCUUAACUGUUCCAAGAAUUUCCAGGGUCUUGUAUAACCUGAAGGCAAAACCACCCGGGACAACGGAGUGGGAAUGAUUGGAUUUACGAACAUUGCUUAGGCAAAUCAUCUCCGCACUCUUUAUAGGACACGGAUACAGAGUUGUAUCAUUGACCAGAUUCAGAUGGGAAAUAUUAUGAACAGCGAAUUCAGUAUAGACUUUUGAAAUUAAAAAAUCAAUCAGCUUUGUCGUCUUGUGAAAAUCUCUUAAACUCGAUUUUAAAGAGAAGUUCACGUGAUGAAUUGUUGACUAUUCCUUAAAUGACAUAAAUGUACAUGCACAUUUGUUGGAAAUAAUGGGUGCAGUUGUUUUUCGUCGAACAAAUUAAACAGUGUUCAGCUAUUA